UGGGGAAUAUUGCGCAAUGGGCGAAAGCCUGACGCAGCGACGCCGCGUGAGGGAUGAAGGCCUUCGGGUUGUAAACCUCUUUCAGCAGGGACGAAAACAGACGGUACCUGCAGAAGAAGCACCGGCCAACUACGUG
rnacentral:rRNA from 1 species